AUUGCUUCUUGGCCUUUUGGCUAAGAUGAGGUGUAGUAUCUGUUCUUAUCAGUUUAAUAUCUGAUAUGUCCUCUAUCUGAGGACAACAUAUUACAUGUAUUUUUGUAAAUAGAGGUUGGACUAGGAGCUUGCUCCAUCCACUCCACACAUCAAUCUGGUAUUGCAGUACUUCCAGGAAUGGUGCAGACCCU
ensembl:snRNA U2 U2 spliceosomal RNA